rnacentral:lncRNA from 1 species
AGGGGCAGAGGGCUAUUCUCUAGUGUCUGAAUCUGACAGCACUCAAACUCGCCUCCCCUCCACAUGCAUAGACCACAGUGGCUCUUUAUGUCCCAUUCAAGACCUGCCUUUGUUCUUUCCACUCAUUCUUAAGUCGUUAACCCUUUCUUCAGAAACUGGCCCCAUUUGUGUAGCACGCAGCCACGGAUUCCCCCUGUUCUUUAUUCCAAGAAUUUGAAAUGCGCUGCCUCAUUGUGUUACAGAAGCACAAAGGGCUGCCUGCAUGGUGAGGGAGCUCACCGCACACUGGGGUGCCUUUAAGUUCAGGAAAGGAAGAAACAUGGGCAGACUGAGAUGGUUUGCUUGGCUGCAAGGGGGUCACUGAGCAGGGUGGAUGAUAUCUUUGGUAAGUGGCUUUGAGGGAAACGUGAUUCUCUCAAACCUAUCACCAUUUUCGCCGCCGCCGCACCGUUAAAGCGGCACCUGUCAAGGCCUACCAGAGGAAGGCUGCCAUCUUGCGUGGAGCUGGGGUACAGCAAGAAAUUUAUCCGGGAUCACUGCCGCUCGGCAGAAGACGAGUGAGGGAGUGAGCUAGCUGCAUUCUUCCUCACCGGGGGCUGCGGUCUCCGUUCAUGCAUGGGCAGGCUUCACCUUGUGACAGAGAACGUCUGGGUUCUUGAUACUUUUCCAUUGCCAUCUCCAGAGUUCUGUUUAAAUGUGACCCUACAAAGCCUACUAUCUGAAGUAACCUCAGCAGCUUUGAAAGCUAGAAUACUCCAUACCUGGAUGCAGUACUUUGGGUGAGGCCCCACCAGCACAGAGUAGAGGGGCAGGAUCACCUCCCUCGACCUGCUGGCCAUGCUUCUUUUGAUUCAGCCCAGGGUAUAGUAGGCUUUCUGGGCUGUGAGGGUGCAUUACUGACUCAUGUCCAACUUGCCAGAGCUACAGAGGUAGCCCUCCCACUCACAGAGUUUUUGGAAAUCCUAAUGGUAGAGGAUGGUGAUGAAAUUAAAGUGGAGACUUACUACAUGAUCUGCUUUUCUGCUGCACAGAAUGAAAGAUAGUGUUGAAAAAAGCAACUUGAAUUCAGGCUAGCUUUUGUAGGGUGCUUGGGGCUUUGGCUGGGAAACACUGUCUGGCCCUUCAGGCACAGAUGACUAAAAAGGCUAGUUCUAGCUGAAAUGCUCAGACUAACAUCAAAAAUCAACUUCUU